rnacentral:rRNA from 1 species
UACGAAGGGGGCUAGCGUUGCUCGGAAUCACUGGGCGUAAAGGGUGCGUAGGCGGGUUUUUUAAGCAGAGGUGAAAUCCUGGAGCUCAACUCCAGAACUGCCUUUGAUACUGAAAGUCUUGAGUAUGGGAGAGGAGAGUGGAAUUCCUGGUGUAGCGGUGAAAUGCGCAGAUAUCAGGAAGAACACCCGUGGCGAAGGCGGCUCUCUGGAACGCAACUGACGCUGAGACGCGAAAGCGUGGGAGCAACAGG